UACGUAGGGUGCGAGCGUUAAUCGGAAUUACUGGGCGUAAAGCGUGCGCAGGCGGUUCGUUGUGUCGGCGGUGAAAGCCCGGCUUAACCUGGGAAUGGCCGUCGAAACUGGCGAACUGGAGUGUGGCAGAGGGGGUGGAAUUCCGCGUGGUAGCAGUGAAAUGCGUAGAGAUGCGGAGGAACACCGAUGGCGAAGGCAGCCCCUGGGCUGACACUGACGCUCAGGCACGAAAGCGUGGGGAGCAAACAGG
rnacentral:rRNA from 1 species